rnacentral:rRNA from 1 species
UGCGCAGGCGGGCAUCUAAGUCAGUGGUGAAAUACUGCCGCUUAACGGUAGAACUGCCAUUGAUACUGAAUGUCUUGAGUAUGGUUGAGGUAGGCGGAAUGUGUAGUGUAGCGGUGAAAUGCAUAGAUAUUACACAGAACUCCGAUUGCGAAGGCAGCUUACUAAGCCAUAACUGACGCUGAGGCACGAAAGCGUGGGGAGCGAACAGGAUUAGAUACCCUGGUAGUCC